AGCGCUUUGGGGAGUGACUUCCGGCCAUGCGGGGCCUCUACCGCUGCCAUCGCGGUCCCGGUCUCCUGAAGUGGAACCCGGCUUGGAGUCGAGCGCGACCCCUCGCCCGUGGGCGCAGGCGAUCGAGUAAGGGUGGGGCGGGCCUCAAACCCGGAUCAGAACCCGCCCUGACCGGCGCAGAGAUACGGGACGCAGCCGUGAGCACUGUUUUUUAUUUCACCAUGGACCCAUCGGCGUGGGGCGCCCGCCCCGGGUGUCCUUCCUCCCCCGGGCAGCCAGAUGCUGGAACGGGAGGCACAUGUUCCGGCCCCGGCCCCUGGGAAGGAAAGAAAGGACCUUCCCGUUUCACUUGUCUCGGCUGAACAUGUAGCGGAGGAGGUCGACCACCCGGUGACUGUAGCCAUAUUCGUUGUCGUACCUGUGGAGGAGGGGUCGGGAGGUUCAAGGGGGUUCCUUCCGACCACCCCUUAGUUCCCCUCCCUCUAAGUCUCCAGCUCCUUCCCCCUUACCAUGAAAUGAGCUUCACGAAAUUGUCAUUGAGCGCAAUGCCGGCCUUAGCAUCGAAGAUGGACGAGUGGGUAUCACCGAGGAAGUCCGUAGAGACGACCUGGAAGUCAGAAUUUCAAAGAUAAGUGUGUCCGGCAGAGCAAGGACCUCCAGGAGCUGAGGCCCCGACUCUUAACUCUAUCGCCCAUCCAUGCAUUCAUCUAUAAUAUUUGAUGUAGCCCUACUGUGUCCAGUCUCUGGACUGGAGGGUAUGACCAAGUGCAGGGUAUGACCAAGGCACUGUGUCAGGGUCUGGCCAAAGGGCACAGGUCACAAACACCCUCAUGCUGUACCAGUACAUCCCUUUCCUAGGAAUAAUGCAAGCGUUUGGAAUGGGCCAGCAUGGAGGGCCUCUCUGAGGGGUGGCCAUGAGCCUGGGUCUAGAUGACUAGAAAGAUCUGACCGGCUGGGGCCCUCAGCACAGUGUCUGAGGUAGAAGGAGCUGCAGGAAGGGAGGACCUGAGGGUUUUAGCCCUAGUGUCAUGAAAGGCCACAGGAGUGUUUUCAAUCCUGAAAACGGGUGAUGCAAUGUGAUUCCAUUAAAACAAAAGAUCCCAGUGACUGUGGGAAAGUGGACCUGCAGGAGUUAAUGCAGGGAGACAGCACCAAGGUGGAUGUACAGGGGUCCACCAUGACCAUGGCAUCCACUCCUCACAGAGAAGGCAUCUGGCCAUGGCCUGGCCCUGAGCAAGUAUUGAAAAAAAUGGGAGCUGUUGUCUUUUGUUCACUAAGCAUGUAUUAGUCACCUGCUGUAUGCCAGGUUGGAGCCACAAAAGUGAAAAGGCAGCCCCUAAAUCCCUGUUUUCUUGGAGUGCACACACCACUGGGGCCAACAGUGACUAUGAAAUGAAAUUUCAGUAAGCAAGGCCCGGGAAGAAGUUGGGUUUCCCUGCCAUCCUUCCUGCCCCAGCCCCUCAUCCUCAACUCACCAUCAACCCUUCCACGAUCCCAAAUCGCUCGUGGAUGACUUUGGCGAGGGGAGCCAAACAGUUGGUGGUGCAGGACGCGUUGCUGAAACAGCCAAGGUGUGCACGGACACUGUGAGGUGGUGACCUCCCCAACUCAGCCCUCAACCUCCUCAGAGGCGCCAAUGCUGACUGCUGUCAGCCAGCCCAGACCCUUUCUCCAUAUGCUGCCCGGGACGUGGACUCUGUGACUGUGAGGCCUGCCCGGCUGCUUUCUGCUUCCCAGCUCUGACAACCUCGCCAUGAACCCUCCUAGACCCUCAGCUCCUGCAAUAGGAAGCUGGCUGCCAAAGGCCAGGAGGGUCCCUGAAAACAGACACUGCAUUAAAGAAAAAGCUCCUGGAGGACUCCUGAAGCCUGAGGCAGCCUUGGGGCAGCAGUGGCUCAUGGUUUACAUUGGAAAGGUUUAUCAUGAGUAACCGGGUGCUUUGCUUCUGUGAUUCUUGGCCAGUGUCGGUCUGUUUCCUUUGCCAUUGAGCCUGCUCCCCUCAAUGGGGGGUUCAAUCAAUGUUUGUGGGGUUUGUUUGUUUUGAGACAGGGUCUUCCUCUGUCGCCCAGGCUGGAGUGCAGUGGUGCAAUCAGAGCUCACUGCAGCCUUGAUCUUCCUGGCUCCGGCCAUCCUCCUGCCUUGGCCUCCCGAGUAGCUGGGACUACAGGCGCACACCACCAUGCCAAGCUAAUUUUUAAAUUUUUUUGUAGAGAUGGGGUCUCACUUUUGUUGCCCAGGGUGCUUUAGAACCCCUGGGCUCAAGUGAUCCUUGACCUCCCACAGUGCUGGGAUUACAGGUGUGAGCCACCGUGCCUGGCCUCAUGGGUUUUCUUUGUUUUGUUUUGUUUUGUUUUUGAGACAGAGUCUCACUCUGUCACUCAGGCUGGAGUGCAGUGGCACGAUUUUGGCUCACUGCAACCUCCACCUUCCGGGUUCAAGCGAUUCUCCUGCCUCCGCCUCCCGAGUAGUUGGGGUUACAGGCAUGCGCUACCACACCUGGCUAGUUUUUUAUUGUUGUUGUUUUUUGUAUUUUUAGUGGUGACGGGGUUUGCUCUGUUGGCCAGGCUGGUCUCAAACUCCUGACCUCAGGUGAUCCCCACUUCAGCCUCCCAAAGUGCUGGGAUGACAGGCAUGAGCCUC
ensembl:lncRNA TMEM147-AS1 TMEM147 antisense RNA 1